rnacentral:rRNA from 1 species
UACGGAGGGUGCGAGCGUUGUCCGGAUUUAUUGGGUUUAAAGGGUGCGUAGGUGGGCAGGUAAGUCAGUGGUGAAAUCUCUGGGCUUAACCCGGAACUGCCGUUGAUACUAUCUGUCUUGAAUAUAGUGGAGGUGAGCGGAAUAUGUCAUGUAGCGGUGAAAUGCUUAGAUAUGACAUAGAACAUCGAUUGCGAAGGCAGCUCGCUACACUAUGAUUGACACUGAGGCACGAAAGCGUGGGGAUCAAACAGG